rnacentral:rRNA from 1 species
GACGAACGCUGGCGGCGUGCUUAACACAUGCCAGUCGAACGGAAAGGCCCUGCUUUUGUGGGGUGCUCGAGUGGCGAACGGGUGAGUAACACGUGAGUAACCUGCCCUUGACUUUGGGAUAACUUCAGGAAACUGGGGCUAAUACCGGAUAGGAGCUCCUGCUGCAUGGUGGGGGUUGGAAAGUUUCGGCGGUUGGGGAUGGACUCGCGGCUUAUCAGCUUGUUGGUGGGGUAGUGGCUUACCAAGGCUUUGACGGGUAGCCGGCCUGAGAGGGUGACCGGCCACAAGGGGACUGAGAUACGGCGCAGACGCCUACGGGAGGCAGCAGUGGGGAAUAUGGCACAAUGGGCGGAAGCCUGAGGCAGAAACGCCGCGUGCGGGAUGACGGCCUUCGGGUUGUAAACCGCCUUCGCCUGUGACGAAGCGUGAGUGACGGUAAUGGGUAAAGAAGCACCGGCUAACUACGUG